UCUUCUUCUUCUUCAUCGUGAACCUAGAGUCGUCGCCUUCCCUCUCUUCUCUUCUCUUCUAUUAGCUCUGAUGACCACCAUCUCCAUCGUUCUCCUCGUCGAGCGUUGUUCGUUGCGUCCCCACAAAAUCCAACUGCCCACCAUCAUGUUUCUUUUGUUUGCGUUGAGGUUCUUCGUAGUCGUCCGCUGAUCUUUCCGUCGUGAGUUUUUGGCCAUAUCUGAAGUCGAGUUUCAGUCAACAUCUCUUUCGUCGUCGUCCAAUCAAACCAAGUCGUGUUUUCUUUUCGUCAGUCGUUUGUCUCACCUAACCGUGUGCAUCGAGUCGCCUUUCAAGCUAAGCUGUCAGUUAACACUUUCCUUUUUCUUGCUGCUGCUUCUACCUCAUUGUGAGAUUUGUGGUAAAGGUAAUGCGAGAGGUAGACCUGCUGUGAAGGGCAAGAGGGACUCGUGAUCGCCAUGUGGAAGCGUUUUUCUUUUAAAUGCUUUCUCUUAAUGUUUUUACUAUUUUUAGUUUUAAGGAUCGAAAAUGAGUCAUAUUUAGGACAUCUAUUUGUUUUUGUUUUCGAUGAAUUUAUAAACAAUGCCGUGGACUUUUAAAUUUCUUUGAAAUAGGCUCGAAGGUAGCUUUUUUUA